GAAAUACGUAAACUUCCGGUGAACUUCCUGGUUUUGUUUUGUUUGCAUAGUGGCUAACUUUGCUAGCUAUGUCAUUUCCACCUAUUUAAAACGUUAUUUGUAGGUCCGUGAGUCAAACUGUUUUGGAAACGUUAAUGGCUUUCUCGCCUGCUCUUAGUCAUGCAAGUAACGCUAGUUGAAAUGUAGUAACUGUUAGCUAACGGCUAACUUGACAGCUAAUGUUGCUAGGAUAGGAAUAGGAUGUGCUGUUAGGAAGUUAGCCAGCCAACACUGAUUAUGUUUCUGCUUAUUCGUCUGUUAUGCUUCUACUUGUUUUAAAUAACUUCUGCGCUAUGGACACCGAGGGAAUAGAGAUCCGUAUAAAGACUCCCGUCGGGGAUAUGGACUCAUCCGUGGACUGCCCGUCACUUUUGAGCUUCAAUGACUUGUUGGUCGCUAUAAGGGAUGUCAUGCCCGAAACCACAAUCACUGCGUUUGAAUAUGAGGAUGAGGUGGGCGAUAGAAUCACUGUGAGGAGUGAUGAAGAACUCAAAGCCAUGCUGUCAUAUUACUGCAAUAACGUGAAGGAGCAGCGGAUGAAUGGUCUACUGCCUGAGCCUCUCCAGAUAUUUCCUCGAGCCGGCAAGACUCCAGGGAUCCGGAACAUACAUGGCCUUAAGGUGAACACAAGGCCCAAUGACUGUUCCCCCGCCACCGUCGGCGCUAUGCCCAACAAUAGUCCCAGUCUAAAGAAGUCAUCCGCGGAGCUAAAGAAGAUUUUGAUGAAUGGACAGAUCAAUGGCCAAGACAUACAAUACCAGGAGCAGCUUGGCCAUGGAAACGGAGGGACCGUGUACAAAGCGUACCAUCUUCUCGGCAAGAGAGUGUUAGCGGUGAAGGUCAUUCCUCUGGACAUAACAGUGGAGCUACAGAAACAGAUCAUGUCCGAGUUAGAGAUCCUCUACAAGUGUGAUUCCUCCUACAUCAUAACAUUCUACAGUGCCUUCUUUGUGGAGAACAGGAUCUCCAUAUGCACAGAGUUUAUGGACGGUGGCUCUCUGGACGUAUACAGGAGGAUCCCAGAACAUGUGUUGGGCAGGAUCUCUGUGGCGGUAGUGAAAGGCCUAACCUAUCUAUGGAGCCUGAAGAUUCUACACAGAGACGUCAAGCCUUCCAACAUGCUGGUCAACACUAGAGGUCAAGUGAAGCUCUGUGACUUUGGAGUCAGCACGCAGUUGGUGAAUUCGAUCGCCAAGACGUAUGUGGGAACUAACGCGUACAUGGCACCAGAGAGGAUAUCUGGGGAGCAGUACGGCAUCCAUUCAGACGUCUGGAGUGUGGGCAUCUCCUUCAUGGAGUUGGCACUGGGCACUUUCCCCUAUCCACAGCUACCCCGAGAGAGAGAGAUGGAGGGAGAGAGAGUGUGCGUGCCAGGGAGACCUCCCGCUGCCAGUGCUCUCCUCAUCUCUCUGUUAAUUUUCCCUGCUCCAUAUGGCGUUACAGACAGUUCACCUGCAGGCUGUAGCAGAGCCCUGGUAGAACGGGUAGAGUGGCGGCAGAGCGCCGCUCGGCUUCAGCUCGCCAGGCGCAGCCGGCAGACGUCCUCGGGCCCAGGCUGUCAGCUGUCUACGCAGACGCCCCCUGUGCUUUCACCCUCCACGGUCUCCCCGACUGUGGCGGCAACACAAAUAGAGAGAAUGGAAUCCAUUGGAAACACCUGAGAUUUGCACAGGCUAGGUGGUUUUGGGAGAAUGGGGUCAGUUUUUGGGGCGGGUUGGGAUGUGGGUGGAUUUGAAGGGCAGAGGGGUGCUUUAUGUUUUUGGAAAGAGCUGUUGUAACACUGUAAGGGGUCUCUGUACUCACCCUUUCCAUUUUGAGGUGUGUGUGUGUGUGUGUGUGUGUGUGUGUGUGUGUGUGUGUGUGUGUGUGUGUGUGUGUGUGUGUGUGUGUGUGUGUGUGUGUGGACUAUAUGAGUUGCCAAGAGUAUGCGUUAACAGUGGGGGUGGAGGUGGCGAUAACCGAAACACGCCAUGGCGUUUUCAUCCUGUGUUUGUCAUUGAUUAGAGACGGCCUCUUUAAUUCCUCCUCACCCCAUGUUGUGAUCCAUUUGCAUUCGUUGCAAGGAGUUAAUGGUGUUUUCUCACGGCUUGCUCUGAAAGUCUUUGAAGACAGCAGACUGGAUGUGAUGUGUAUACAGCCGCCAGCGUAGCGCCACCCUGAUUGAUUUGAGCCCUUUUUGGUUUUCCUUUUAUUCAUCUCCAUUUUAAAUUGUUCUGCAGAAGAAGAAGAAGAAGAAUAACAGGAAGUAGUUCAAAUAUGUUUGAUGGUGUAUGUUGUUAUGAAGUGAUCACAUAAAAAUGUCAAACAAACUGUAGAGGGAUUUAACAGAUCAGUGAUUGCACUCCAAGUGUUGAGUAAUGUAGACUCUUUUCACACUAUACCCAUAUUGCGUUGUGACAUGGGGACUUUCAUAUGAUGAAGUAUCACAUUUUCCAAAACUUUUGAAUGCUUUAUGCAGAGCCAGCCUUCACCCCUGUCUGAGAACGUUUUGUACUCGUGGUGUUCUGGCUAUUGCUCCCCUCAACCCUGGAACAUCUGCCUUCAGAUCAACACAGCUGAUUCAGAAAAACCAAGGAUCUUUAAUG